rnacentral:rRNA from 1 species
UACGUAGGAUGCGAGCGUUAAUCGGAAUUACUGGGCGUAAAGCGUGCGCAGGCGGUUUUGUAAGCCAGAUGUGAAAUCCCCGGGCUUAACCUGGGAAUGGCAUUUGGGACUGCAAGGCUCGAGUGCGGCAGAGGAGACUGGAAUUCCUGGUGUAGCAGUGAAAUGCGUAGAUAUCAGGAGGAACACCGAUGGCGAAGGCAGGUCUCUGGGCUGACACUGACGCUCAUGCACGAAAGCGUGGGGAGCAAACAGG